rnacentral:rRNA from 1 species
UACGGAGGAUCCAAGCGUUAUCCGGAAUCAUUGGGUUUAAAGGGUCCGUAGGCGGUUUUGUAAGUCAGUGGUGAAAGCCCAUCGCUCAACGGUGGAACGGCCAUUGAUACUGCAAGACUUGAAUUACUAGGAAGUAACUAGAAUAUGUAGUGUAGCGGUGAAAUGCUUAGAUAUUACAUGGAAUACCAAUUGCGAAGGCAGGUUACUACUAGUGGAGUGACGCUGAUGGACGAAAGCGUGGGGAGCGAACAGG